CCCUUAGAUGUUCUGGGCAGCACGCGCGCUACAAUGGUCUUCGCAAACGGAUGCAUUCUCGAAGGAGAAUGCCAAUCUUGGAAUCUAUGCCUUGGUCGGGACAGUUGCUUGCAAUUUUUCGACUCGAACCAGGAAUUCCUUGUAAUCGUGAUUCAUCACAUCACGAUGAAUACGUCCCUGCCGUUUGUACACACCGCCCGUCGUUUCUUCCGACUGAUACUCAUUGUGAGUUGCAAGGACGCUUCAUUGUGAAAUUGCUGCGAAUGCUUUGUAUUGGAGGAAGAAAAAGUCGUAACA
rnacentral:rRNA from 1 species